rnacentral:rRNA from 1 species
CCUACGGGAGGCAGCAGUGAGGAAUAUUGGUCAAUGGACGCAAGUCUGAACCAGCCAUGCCGCGUGCAGGAAGACGGCUCUAUGAGUUGUAAACUGCUUUUGUACGAGGGUAAACGCAGAUACGCGUAUCUUUCUGUAAGUAUCGUACGAAUAAUGAUCUGCUAACUCCGUGCCAGCAGCCGCGGUAAUACGGAGGAUUCAAGCGUUAUCCGGAUUUAUUGGGUUUAACGGGUGCGUAGGCGGUUGGAUAAGUUAGAGGUGAAAUCCCGAGGCUCAACUUGGGAAUUGCCUUUGAUACUGGUCGGCUAGAGUGUAGUUGCGGUAGGCGGAAUGUAUGGUGUAGCGGUGAAAUGCUUAGAGAUCAUACAGAACACCGAUUGCGAAGGCAGCUUACCAAGCUAUUUCUGACGUUGAGGCACGAAAGCGUGGGGAGCAAACAGGAUUAGAUACCCCGGUAGUC